AGUAGUUGAUCAGUGGCUCGAGGACACGCUGGCGGCGUGCCUAACACAUGCAAGUCGAACGAGAUCCAUGGGAGCUUGCUCCCGGAAGAUCUAGUGGCGAACGGGUGAGUAACACGUGAGAAACCUGCCCUGGAGUGGGGAAUAACUCGGGGAAACUCGAGCUAAUACCGCAUACCCUCGGAUGGUCGCAUGGCCGACCGAGGAAAGAUUUAUCGCUCUAGGAGGGUCUCGCGGCCUAUCAGCUAGUUGGUGGGGUAACGGCCUACCAAGGCAACGACGGGUAGCUGGUUUGAGAGAACGAUCAGCCACACUGGGACUGAGACACGGCCCAGACUCCUACGGGAGGCAGCAGUGGGGAAUCUUGCGCAAUGGGCGAAAGCCUGACGCAGCAACGCCGCGUGCGGGAUGACGGCCUUCGUGGUUGUAAACCGCUUUCAGCAGGGACGAAAAUGACGGUACCUGCAGAAGAAGCCCCGGCUAACUACGUG
rnacentral:rRNA from 1 species